GCGCAGCAGGCGAGAAUUUUUCUCAAUGGGCGAAAGCCUGAAGGAGCGACGCCGCGUGGAGGAUGAAGGCUUUCGGGUCGUAAACUCCUGUCAUUUGAGAACAAGUGUAGCCAAAUAACUACUGGCUACUUGAUAGUAUCAGAAGAGGAAGGGACGGCUAACUCUGUGCCAGCAGCCGCGGCAAUACAGAGGUCCCAAGCGUUGUUCGGAUUCAUUGGGCGUAAAGGGUGCGUAGGUGGCGCCGUAAGUGGGGUGUGAAAUUUCGGAGCUUAACUCCGAAACUGCAUUCCAUACUGCGGUGCUUGAGGACUGGAGAGGAGACUGGAAUUCAUGGUGUAGCAGUGAAAUGCGUAGAGAUCAUGAGGAAGACCAGUGGCGAAGGCGGGUCUCUGGACAGUCCCUGACACUGAGGCACGAAGGCUAGGGGAGCGAACGGGAUUAGAUACCCGUGUAGU
rnacentral:rRNA from 1 species